UACGAAGGGGGCUAGCGUUGCUCGGAAUCACUGGGCGUAAAGCGCACGUAGGCGGAUUGCUAAGUCAGGGGUGAAAUCCUGGAGCUCAACUCCAGAACUGCCCUUGAUACUGGCGGUCUCGAGUCCGGGAGAGGUGAGUGGAACUGCGAGUGUAGAGGUGAAAUUCGUAGAUAUUCGCAAGAACACCAGUGGCGAAGGCGGCUCACUGGCCUGGUACUGACGCUGAGGUGCGAAAGCGUGGGGAGCAAACAGG
rnacentral:rRNA from 1 species